rnacentral:lncRNA from 1 species
UAUAAAUUACUACUAUAUUAAAUUGUGAAUUUGAUUACAUCCACAAAAUAAACCAAACUAUCCAUAUAAUUAAGCUACUACCUAAGUAUGUGCAAAAAAGCCUAGGUUCUCCCAAAAUACGUAAAUUCAUCUAACCUUGUACAUAUCCACCGUUCACUCGAGGCUCUACAUGUAGCUGCUCACAUAUGCUGCCCACUCAUCCCGUACUUCAUCAAUUUGUUCUUCUAUGUACGUUAAUCCAUUUCCCUUAUCCCUUUGAAAUAAAAAAAUAACAAAUUUAGUUAGAAGUAGUACAACUUUAGAUGCUGGUUUUUGAUACUCCAUGUAACUUUGGAACAGUUUUCUUGGCUAGUAAUCUAAAUUGAUGUCUCAAGCAUUGAUUAUGAAACAACAUGAAUUAAAGAAUACAAGUGAAACUAAAUUUCUUUCAAAGACAAUGAAGAUGACAAAUUGCAGUCCAUUUUAGGUAUGAAAAUAACUUACUAAAGUAAUGAAGAUGACAAAUUGCAGUCCAUUUUAGGUAUGAAAAUAACUUACUAAAGUAAUGGGCAUGCUCAUCCCCUUCGUACAAAAAACAAAUUAUAGAAAAAAUCAUGCAUGCAUUCUUCAAGAAGGAUUUGAUGUUUCAGAAGUUAAAUAGAUGGUAAAGUAUAUCAUAAACUCCAAGAUAUAAAAAUAUUUAAAAUAAAAUAAAAUUGAACUAAAUUAUUUAAUUAUCAUAAAUUUUCCAUAGAUUUUCUAAGGUUCUCCCCUUCAAUUCUUAAUUAUAACAACAACAAUGCUGGACAAUUCAUUAGUAGCAAUCUACUCCUAUAAAAAGAAAGUUCAGCAUAAUGAACUCAGACAAGUUUGUAUUCAAGUGGCUAUAUCCAUUCUCCAGUCAAGUAUGCAAGUAAUUGAAAAUUGCAUCUCCUAAAAGUUGAAUAAAUUUGCCUCUACUAUCAUGAUAUCGUCUCUUGAUCAUAAAUUUGCAAUAAAUAUGGGUUUGAGAUCCCUGUCCCAAGAACUGAAUUAUGGCAUAUUCUGUAUGAAAGUAAAAGAAAAAGUGCCUACACAACCAAAACAGACACAUUUCUAUAGAAAGCCUCCAUGUAGUCCAAAAUUACAACUGUAACUAGAAGAUGCUCACAAAAGGAUAGUACAGUUGUUAUUUCACAAAUUGAGUAGAAUGGUGUUAUCUUAUACAUUAUUUGGUCAAUAAUAUUCUAGGAAAACAGUUAUUCCUCCUAGACUUAUCAAAAUAAGAAACGGUUAGCACUCCUAGCAUUUAGAGAGAAAAUUAUGGAUUGUUUUUUAACAAAAAGUGCACUAGAAAAUUCUGAGAUGCAAAGAAGGGCAGGAAAUCAUUCUCUAUUUACACAAAGUAACUCUUCAAAGUACUUGAUAAUGCUUGUUCUCAUGCUAUGCCCCACCAAUAAUCAAAAUAUAACCCAAGUCAAUAUUCUUUUAACAAUAAUUGCAAUGUAAUUUUGUACAUCUCAGCUCUAGCAGAAAUGGAAUAAUUCAGUUUAUGUUAGCCUGUUAGAUAUGUAACGUCCCCAAAUUCAGGUACUUGAAACCUGAACUCAGUGUUUUACGAUACAAUUUCUAUGAGCGGAAUAAUACUAAUAAUAACAACAAUAAUAUAAAUAUCAAACUUAAUUUACAUUUAUUAGAGUCUAAUCCGAAGUACACAACCUUAACUACAUUUAUUACAAUACAUGAUAAUAAUAAAUAUCAUUGCCUUAAUAAAGUCGUUCUAUUACAUAGAAUACCAUAACACUUAUUUUGUUUACUUUCCUUUUCUCUUGUUCUUGGCCGAACCUUAUAGUUGUUCACACUUAGCUGAAAAUAUUUAAAUUAAGCAAGGAUGAGCAUUUGAAUGCCCAACAAGUAAUAGCAAUUAUAAAUAUUAGUUCAAAG